UGCCCCAACCUCCCUUUCUGCGCCGCUCGGGUACGCAGCUGCCUGGCCAGCGUCUACGGCACCAACUCCGGACUGGUUGGACCAGGCAGCAGAGUCUGAGACAUGUUCUUGGAUUGGAUGCUGGAGACCGAGUUGAAUAUCAAUAGCGAGUCCCGAAAAGGCCUCUGGCAAUUGCCAAGCCGAGGGCCUUCUGCCACUUAAUGUGCACCUGGCAGAUUAUGUGGCCGCGAAGAAAACAACUUUGGCUGCACGAAGUUCGGCACAAUCCUAGAGAAGCUUCUGCCAGUUCCAGUGAGUUGAGAUAAACGAAACGUGGAUCUGCCAUAGCAGUGUUACUGGACAAGGCAAGACUUCUAAGGUGCCAGCUAUCUUGGUUUGUCUCAAAUGGAAGAGGUUCCUGGGAUAUGGGAUUUCUAAUUCUAAAAUCAGAAAAGCAACAAGCAAAUUGGGCAUUGGAGCUGCUGGUGGACAUCACUGUCACUGUAAAGGGAAAGUCUACCGAGAAUGAAGGUAACACAGAAGAAAGCAGAGCCAAGAGCUGAAGCCCAACACCUGAUGACACUAAGCACUUGGGUCCAAGUUUCCCUGAAGCUCCAUCCUUGGACAUAUCACUUUACAUGACUCAGUAAAUUAUCUUUUUGCUUAAACUAGUUUUAACUGGGUUUCUACUACUUGUAUCUAAAUAAGAGCUAAGAAAAGGGAACAUGUGUUUAUACUAUACUGUCAAGUGAGGUAAAUGCUAUAAAAGAGGCCCAAAAGGAGAAAAGUUAAAUUAUGCAGAGGUGAAAUUCAGCUGCAAGAAAUCAGGAAAUGAAUUCAGGAUGAGCUGGCAUUUGAUUAAUUCUUGCAGAUUAGCAAGUGUAAGUAGCUUCCUAUGACUGCUCUAACUACCACACUCUUAGUGGCUUGACUAACACAAAUUUCUUGCAGUUCUGGAGUUAAGAAUGGAUCUGCAGGGCUGCUUUCUUCUGGAGAUCUUGAAGAGAAUUCACUUCUUUGCCUUUUCCAGCCUCUAGAGGCCACCUAUAUUCCUUGACUCAUGGUCUUACACUUUUAUCUGCAAAGCAUCUUCUAAUCUCUCCCUCUCUGAUUCUGACUCCCCUGCCUCCUUUUUUCCUGAUAAGUUUUCCACAUCAUGAUUACACAUUGUGCCCACCUAGAUGAUGCAAGAUAAUAUCACCCCUUCUCAAGCCCCUUGCCUUAAUCACGCCUGCUAGGUCCCCUUUAUCAUGUAAGGUAACUUGUACAUUCUGGGGAUUAGGAUGUAGAUAUCUUUGGGCAACUAUUAAUGUCUGGUUGAGGGAAUAGCAUUGGUAAAGGCACCAAAAUAAGAGAAGUGUGUUAGUCCAUGAAAAUAAUUUAAUUUUCCUGGAAAAUAUUUCAGGGAUCAGUGGGAUUGAGGCUAGAAAGUUUGGUUGAAAUAACCUUGUCUUGUAGACAGGGAAGGAAUCAUACUUCAUUUAGUACUUAAUGAGGUGCAAAGCACUGUGCUUUUUGUAUUGUAGAAAUAGGGAUGAGUAUAACAUUAUCUGUACCCUCAAAAAGUUUGCAAUGUAGUAGGGAGAAAGAUAUCUAUAUGUAAAGUGUCCAGGAUAGUCCUAGUUUAAGCCUGUCAUGCCACAUAAAUAUUCAUUGUGCCCCCUUUCACCUUAAAAAUGUCUUGGUCUGGAUGAUAAAAUAUGUGAUCACCCUACCUAAAUGCCAUCAUCAUCAUCAUUUAUUGAAUAUUAUCAUGUAGGAGCCCUGUGUUAGACCUUGGGAGAAAGCAAGAGAUACAAGCAAAUUUUCUGGGCUCAAGGUGUUUAUAAUUUAGUUUUAGAGUUCAAAGACGUUUAUAACAUGGUAAGGUAGCACAAAUAGUAUUUGGUCAACAAAGCAGCAGCGUAAAUCCUAAGCAACAAAAACAGAAAUUAGGUGCUACAGAAAACAAGAGCUGUAAGAAGAUGAGAGACAUCCCUGCAGCCUGGGUGACCAGGCAGGCUGCAACCAGUGAGAUGCACAGUUGGCACUGGAGCUUCAAAUGUAGGCAGGCUUGUGAAAAUGAAGAUGCACAGGCGGCACCCAGGUAAGGACAUAGACCUGGAUCAUUUACGAUGUGUCAAUAGAGAUGGAGAAAAAUGUCACUGCCUUGUGUUUCAAUAUUUCACUGAAUCUAAGAUAACUCCUUUGUUAAGAAACUCUAUUAUUUUAUAUACCACUAAGGAAAAUUGUUGCCCAUCCGCUUUAAGAAAUAUUCUGAUUUCAGAGAUGUUAAAAUGUGGAAAAAAUUCUAUUUUAGAAGGUGAAAUAAGAUAAUAUUUCUUCUCAAAUUUAAAGAUUCUUGCUAAAGUGGCUCA